rnacentral:lncRNA from 1 species
ACAAUCACACACAAAUCAUUUCAAGUCUAACCACAACUGUUUCAAAAUCACUAUGGAACCACUUUCUACCAAAUCAUAUCAAAACCAUUUACACACCUAUACCAAACUACUAAUCGAUCUAAUAGAAACCAUUAUGUGUUGCUUGUUCAAAUCUGAAAACAAGCUUUCAUUUGUCAUCAGAACCAAGGAAUUUACUCUCACCGAUACACACACAAUCACACACAAAUCAUUUCAAGUCCAACCACAACUGUUUCAAAAUCACUAUGGAACCACCCUCUACCAAAUCAUAUCAAAACCAUUUACACCUAUACCAAACUACUAAUAGAAACCAUUAUGUGUUGCUUUUCUGUUCAAUGAAUAUACAAUAAGUUGUUGGUUCUUUUGC